rnacentral:misc_RNA from 1 species
AGAGAGAGAGAGAGAGAGAACAAUACCGACAUAUACAUUUGUUUGUACUUGAUUGAACUCUGUAUUCCAAUAAGUAAACAACUUUUCUACUUGGAAUUGAUUAUUCAAGUGUUGCAACUUACUGAUUUAAAAAUGGGAGGAUGAUGGUGAAGGACAAAUUUAUUGCAGAAAACACAAUAUGCAAUUUGACAUCACAAAAGCAGGGAAGUUCCUGCAUCUGGGAUAAUGAAACAGAGAAGCAUAAUUUUCUCAAAAUAAAAACUGAUAAAUAUAGUACAAAUUGGUAUAUUCAAGGCAGCAAAAAACAAACUGACACCUGAUUCAAAUAAACAACUGGCAACUCUCCCAGUUUCACAAAGGAAACUCAAAAUAAAGCCUCCCAGAAAUCCCAAAAAUCCUGAUCAGAUAACAAUAAAAUACAAAUGAACCAAAAAUAAAAAUACCCAGUCGCAGAGAGUUCCAAAUAAAGACAUGCAUACUACAUCCACAGGUAACACAGACAACAAUAUCGAGAUAGGAAAAAUCUAUAUCGAACCAUGAAAAGUGAUAUGCAGUAUACUAAAAUGCAACAAUCCCAAAUAAAAGUGAAAGACAAUAAAAAAAGGUUAUACACAAAAACACACAUUUAUACCUUGGUGUCAAGCAUGACAGCACAGAGAAUACCAGUGUUAACCAUGCCGGCCUUGAGAUUAUCAAGGGUUUCCUGGUGGUACUCAUGAGAUCCAUGAGAAAAGUUGAAGCGAGCGACGUUCAUGCCUGCCCUCAAAAGCUUUUCGAUCAUAGGCACAGAUCUGGAUGCGGGUCCAAGGGUGCAAACAAUCUUCGUCUUGGGCUUCUUCUCCAUGAGCACAGCCUCUGCUUCGCCGUUGUUCAUUUCUGAUAUCACUAAAAAAUGGCUCUCUAUAUAUAUAUAUU